UAUCAAACUCAAAGGAAGGAAACCCUAGCUAGCUAGCCGCCACAAUCAUAUCGAAGGGGAGAGAGAGAGAGAGUAAUGCAUGGGUUCCGCGUCGUCAGCGACGAUGGGGAGGGCGAUGAUGAUGCGAGCCGCGUGGAGGUCGAGCAGGCCGGUGAUGAGGUUUGCUCAUCGCCAUCGUCUUCUCCACGGCACUCCUUCUUCCCAUAGAACAACUACUACUCCUACCAAGGAAGAGGUUGAUAUCAUUCUGGAUUGCUUGAAGGAAACAGGUACUAAAUCAAUGGACAUGGCAACACUGGACCAGACUACCUACUUCGUUAAUUCAGCACUCUCGGGUGCGAUGGCCCGUAGAGUUGAGCGGGCAUGCGCGAGUGCUGCAGUCGUUAUUAUGGGCUUCACACUUGAUGCCUUCUCAGCCACUCGAUCCGGCAAGCAGCUAUAGCUAGAUAUGUCGGCUUAAUUUCCAAGUUACUCUAUAUAUAUGUCGGCUUGCACCGUAAUUGAAGAUGAUCGAUGUUGACUAUGUAUAACACUUGAUUUUGUAUGGGAUCCUGACGCUCAAUGAAACUUAAUUGCCACUGUACGUAAGGGCAUAUAUCUUGUCUAGAUAUGCAUGAAUAAGGGCAUAAAUAUA